AGUCUUUCUCCCUGGGCCCUUCUCUUGAGCGUUGUUUCUAACUCAGCAAGAACCCAUGCAAUAGAUGAAGCUGUACGGACUCUGUAAGGAGGUUCCCUGUAAACAUGUCUUAAGCUUUGCUAUACUUACAGGGCUGGGUUAAUUGCUAUCUGAAAACUCUUUUUCCAAAGUCACGCUGGGCUUAGCUAUGGCAAAAAUAAAUGAGCUGAUGUCAGACUCUUGAAGUCCUGGCCCAGCCUCGGUGCCUAAGCUUCAAGCCGAGCUGAGUUUCACUCUUGUUUCUCCGGGCUCACAUGUCUGCCUGCUGUAAAGUCCGCAGGGACCCUCUGUGGAGGAAUCUUAACUCUGAAAUUCUGCUCUGCUGCUGAGAACUUUGAUUUGGGCACUGUGGGUUAGUUUUGCUGCUGGAGACUUGACCUUUGAAUUUGCUGAAACCAAAGAGCCCUUGGUCUUGGAGGCAAGUGAGAGCAUGCGCACUGGCGGUAUUGCAACAAGCAUAAUGACCUUGCAGGUGUGGACAGAACAAGGUUCCCCUUCCUGACUGGGUCAGAAAAGGGUCUUGGAGGAAGUGACUCUUUGUUUUCAAAAGGAGUUGGAGGAUACACGGACUACUCUUCUCUUGCUUAGAAGCUGCCAUCUUGUUUUGGAGGCGGGGAUUGCAUUGGGACCUGGUGUGUCACAGCUUUCUGAUCAGGCACCUGGAAUCCAGGCAGCAGCGACUGAAAAGACCAUUUACAACGUUUUCGUUUCCUUGAUGUUGAUGACGGUACAGCAAUGAACAUGGCUGAGUGACGGCGACAGGAGCACCCAGAGUCGGCAACAUCUCUUCGCCGGCUCCCUGGCUUUUCCGGAGGAUUCGGCAGUCUCGAUAGAGCAAGGUUUUCACAAUGAGUCUUUCUUUGGAACAGUGAAGAUCUGCUGACUUAGAAAGCCAGCGGAGACAGCACAGCCCCUCUACUUAGGAAGCGGUCUUGGAUCUCGUGGAGUUUGGUGCAGCGGAAAAGGCAGUGUUGACUGCUGGCCUGGCUGUGGAUCAGGCGCUGAGCCUGUGUCUCCAUGGUGUGCGUGUUUACAGCCUCCUUUCCCACACAUUCGCUGACUUUUCCAACUCCAGCUCUGACUUCUGACAGUAGAGGCACAGAAGUGUGUUGAGAGAGCAUCUGAAUCUCCCAGUGCCUCUGCCUUAGCGAGAGAGGAACCACCACGGAAGGGCCAGAGCCUCCCUGGACUCUUCCCCCAAGCCCCGAGGACGCAGACCACCUGAAAAGCUUCUAAAUGCCCCUGUGUUAGGAGGUCUCGCCCUUGCCUAGGCUGUGUCCUGGAUGAGCAACUCCCGUUCCAAAGGAGAAACACAAGUGCAUUUCCGUAAAAUAUUUUGAACUUCCAAGAGUUUCAAGGCCAUUGCUGUUAUCCUCCUUGUUCCGGUUUACGUAAGGAAACGUGAUGGAUGAGAAAGACGCUUGCAAAGAGACACAGAGAAGCAGACGGUGCUCCAGCCUCUCGUUUGCAUCGCCUGCCCAUUAUCUUUCUCAUCGCCGAGGCGCCUGCCUGGUGAUGUGCCCUUGUCACAGGAAGCUCUGCCAGUGGCAGCGGGGCUGUCCCAUCUCAGCAUCUCAUCUUCACACAAACCAUGCGUUAAGGAAUCCGUCAGAUUUGUCUGAAAAGUUUGUUUUUGAGAGGAAUCCCGGGUGACUGAUAAAGAAAGUGUGCAAAACUACAAUGGACUUUUUACAAUGAAAACAACCAUGGAAGUCACCAGAGUCGCUGUGGCCGAAUAUUAAAUGUCAUAAGCUUACUAAGGGGCUUAGAAGGACCCACAAUGGUCACACUCAGCAUUUCUCACAUAUGUGCCUUUUUAAGGUGUGCUGGGGCACAGAACUGUGCAAGUGGCCAACCCAUGCCCCGUCUAAUUUUAGACCUACACCACAAGAGGGAGCCCACACCUGACAUGGCCUGGGUAGUUCAGAGACCUAGGAGAGAACCCAGCAGGACUGGGAAUUUGUGAGGAAGAAAUGCCAACGAAAUGAUUCCUAAUGGUAUUCUGCUACCCUCAUAGGCUGGAGCCUACCAUAGCCAUCAUCACAGCGGCUCUGCCCAGCUAGUAAAAAGAGCAGAUGCAGAGGUCCACAGGCAGACAUUAGGCAGAGCGUUUGGAAUCCUGCAGAAGAGGAGGAGGAAGGAUUGCAGGACCCAGUUGGGUCAGGGACACCACAAGAACACAGCCCACAGAAUCAACUAACCCGUGUUCAUAGGGGCUCACAGAGAUUGAAGAGACAACGGAGAAUCAAAUGUAAGUCUGACCUAUGUCCUCUGCAUACGCUACAGUUGUGUUGCCUGGUGUUUUUAUGGGACUCCUGACAGUGGGAGCAGGGGCUAUCGCUGACUCUUUGGCCUGCUUUUGGAAACUUUUCCUCCUACUGGAUCACCUAGUCCAGCCUUGUUAUGAGGGCAUGUGCCCUGUCUUAUUGCAACUUGGUGUACCGUGUUCGGUUGAUAUCCCUGGGAGGCCUGCUCUUUUCUGAAGGGAAAUAGAGAAGUGGACCUGGGGCAGAGGGGAGGGAGAGGGAGAGGGCAAACUGUGGUUGGGAUGUAAUAUAUCAGAGAAGAAGACUAGAUAAGUUACUUUAAAAAGAGAUUAAGUUUUCUUUUAUCUGUAUGUUCUCUCUCGCUCUCUCUUUUUCUUUCUCUUUCUCUUUCUCUGUCUCUCCCUCUCUCUCUUAAUCUCUCUCUCUCUCUCUCUCUCUCUCUCUCUCUCUCUCUCUGUGUGUGUGUGUGUGUGUGUGUGUGUGUGUGUAUAACACAUGCAGUAUUCAUGGAGACCAGAAGAUGGUGCUGGUUACCAGGAAGUAGAGCUACAGACUGUUGUCAGUACUGGGACGUGAACCUGGGUCUUCUGUAAGAACAACAAGAGCUGUCAAUCACUGAAUCAUCUCUCCAGCCCUUGUAAUUGCUUUGUUUUGUUGCUGCUGUUCUGGGUAUGCAACCCAGAGCCUCGUGUAUGUUAGGAAGAAGCUCAUCCUCUGUACCACCCCACAUUUUGUUUUGGUUUGGGUUUUGUUUAUGGAGACAAGGUCUCAUGAUCUAGCCCAGACUGGCCUUGAACUCAGUGUAUAAUCAAGACCAGGCUUUAAUUUAUGAUCCUUCUGCCUCCUACCCCUAUGCACUCAGCUUUGGGCUUGCAUCACCAAAUCUGAAUCACCAUGUAAUAAUUUUUUAAUAGAAUAGCAAUGUAAUUUUCUCUCUUACUAGAAAUGCUUUUGGAGAGCUGGAGAGAUGCCUUUGCAGUUAAGAACACUUAUUGCUCUUGCAGAGGAUUCAGGUCAUGUCUAGCACCCAGGUGGUGGCUCCUCAGCAUCCCUACCUCUACUCCCAGGGCACCCAACAACUUCCUAUCUCUGCGGGCACCAACAUGUAUUCAGUGCAAUACAUGUGUGUAAGGAGCACUCAUACACAUAAAAUUAAUGUAACAUUUAAAAAUCCUUUUGAUUGAGAAUUUCAUAUGUGCACAUGAGUUUUGACCAAAUCUAGCCCCUAACCCCUCCUCUCCAGUUCCACGAUGGCUGUUUUUGGCUGGCAGUGUCACUCUCUCUGGAAAUAACUACCCUCCCCCAUGGCCAGGCACACCCACCUGUGAGGGACUUCUGCUUAAUUAAGUAGUUUGAAGUCGGAAGACCCACUUCUAAUCCGGAUGUUUGAAGUGAGAAGAUCCACCUCUAAUUCUGGGCACGCCUUCUUCUGGCAGCCUAACUAGAGGAUACGGAAGAAGGAAGGCUUCUCUCUUCUCUGCUUCUUCAGAAUUCUGGCACACACCGAAGACCAGCUGAGACAUUCAGCCUCGACUAGUGGAUUCUUGAAUCUUCCAUUGGUAGACAACCAUCAUGGGACUAGCUGGACCACAGACUUCAGUGAGGCAGUGUGAGAAAGUCACAGCAGCUGCAGCAAGAUCUCAGCCCCAAGACAUCUGAUGCACAGACUUUGGGAGAAACAUGCAUUGUUGGCCCUCACCAGACAGUAGCAGCUGACAGACAGACACCAGCUCUCUCUAGGGCCCUGCUCCAAACCUGUCCCCUCAGUAACUACAAGUACACAAAGGCACAAGAGCAGAAAUAUAAACAUCCAAGAAUCUCAGGAUCUGAAAUCAAAGCAGCAUUGGGAUGUAGAGCAUUCUUACAGCACCCUAGGAAUAUAUGACAUAACAUUUAGAAGCAGCGAAAAUCUAUCUACUCACUGAAGGCCCAUCCCCGCAUUCAGCAAGCAAUGGUUUUCCAGAAACCUGAUCAAUGUCCCUCUCAACCCGCAUCGAAGAAACGUCUUAAAUAGAUGGUAUACUGUUUCCCAGGAAGGACACCGCUCUUUCUCCCAGCUUUCCUCAGUUGCCUGUUGUAAUGAGUGUUCUUGGUUGUCAACUUAACUACAUCUGAAGUUAACUAAAAUCCAAGUAGCUGGGUAUAACUGUGAGGAAUUUUCUCUUAAAUCAUCUGAAGUGGGGAGACCCAGUUUUAAUCCAGAUCUUUUGAGGCGAGAAGAUCCACAUUUAAUCUGAGCCAUGCCUUCAGCUGGCAGCCUCUGGAAAGGGCACGGAAGAAGGAAGCUCUCUCUCUUUGCCUGCUUGUCCUCACUCAGACUCACAACUUCAUUCCUUCCCUGGCGUUAGAGUCUAUUUCUUUGGGAUUCUGACAUAUAUUGAAGACCAGCUAAGACAUCCAGCCGCAACUACUGGAUUCUUGG